AAAACCUGUUUGUACUUCUAUGCGUAUGUUUGUCAGUCGUUUGAUACUGAUAAUUUUUGAAGCAACAAUUGAUAAACUUAAACAACAUAAUUUUUCAAUGUGAGCAUGGAACAAAGGUAAUGAUGCACAUUUACUGUUAUGGGGGAUGAUUCUUUGGAUUCCGUGGAAACGCAGUUACACGCCGUGGAAGCUCCGUAAGAACGCAUCGGUCGCCGUCAGGACGCCGUGACGACUCCACUUAAAAAAAUUCAAAUAAAACUGAACACUUUUUCUUAAUUUUCCUUGCGAUCCUUCGGCGAUUCCAUGAAUUUUACAAUGCCGUGAACACGCCGUAGGGACGCAGCUUGGUGUGACAGGGCCUUUAGGAAAAUUUGCAUAUGCCCCGCCCCUUAUUUAUGAGAUUUUAUGAGAUAUUGUAAUUCGAAAAUUAACAAACAUCUACCAAAAUGAAUAUCAUUACUAUUUUGGGUUUGAUUGUAUCAAAAAAUUAAAUAAACUGGAAUAAAAAC
rnacentral:sRNA from 1 species